UCCUCCAAGGCUAAAUACUCCUGACUGACCGAUAGUGAACCAGUACCGUGAGGGAAAGGCGAAAAGAACCCCGGCGAGGGGAGUGAAAAAGAACCUGAAACCGUGUACGUACAAGCAGUGGGAGCACAGGUUUACCUGUGUGACUGCGUACCUUUUGUAUAAUGGGUCAGCGACUUAUAUUCUGUAGCAAGGUUAACCGUAUAGGGGAGCCGUAGGGAAACCGAGUCUUAACCGGGCGUUAAGUUGCAGGGUAUAGACCCGAAACCCGGUGAUCUAGCCAUGGGCAGGUUGAAGGUUGGGUAACACUAACUGGAGGACCGAACCGACUAAUGUUGAAAAA
rnacentral:rRNA from 2 species